GGCGUGCUUAACACAUGCAAGUCGAACGGAAAGGCCCUGCUUUUGUGGGGUGCUCGAGUGGCGAACGGGUGAGUAACACGUGAGUAACCUGCCCUUGACUUUGGGAUAACUUCAGGAAACUGGGGCUAAUACCGGAUAGGAGCUCCUGCUGCAUGGUGGGGGUUGGAAAGUUUCGGCGGUUGGGGAUGGACUCGCGGCUUAUCAGCUUGUUGGUGGGGUAGUGGCUUACCAAGGCUUUGACGGGUAGCCGGCCUGAGAGGGUGACCGGCCACAUUGGGACUGAGAUACGGCCCAGACUCCUACGGGAGGCAGCAGUGGGGAAUAUUGCACAAUGGGCGGAAGCCUGAUGCAGCAACGCCGCGUGCGGGAUGACGGCCUUCGGGUUGUAAACCGCUUUCGCCUGUGACGAAGCGUGAGUGACGGUAAUGGGUAAAGAAGCACCGGCUAACUACGUGCCAGCAGCCGCGGUGAUACGUAGGGUGCGAGCGUUGUCCGGAUUUAUUGGGCGUAAAGGGCUCGUAGGUGGUUGAUCGCGUCGGAAGUGUAAUCUUGGGGCUUAACCCUGAGCGUGCUUUCGAUACGGGUUGACUUGAGGAAGGUAGGGGAGAAUGGAAUUCCUGGUGGAGCGGUGGAAUGCGCAGAUAUCAGGAGGAACACCAGUGGCGAAGGCGGUUCUCUGGGCCUUUCCUGACGCUGAGGAGCGAAAGCGUGGGGAGCGAACAGGCUUAGAUACCCUGGUAGUCCACGCUGUAAACGGUGGGUACUAGGUGUGGGGUCCAUUCCACGGGUUCCGUGCCGUAGCUAACGCUUUAAGUACCCCGCCUGGGGAGUACGGCCGCAAGGCUAAAACUCAAAGGAAUUGACGGGGCCCCGCACAAGCGGCGGAGCAUGCGGAUUAAUUCGAUGCAACGCGUAGAACCUUACCUGGGUUUGACAUGGAUCGGGAGUGCUCAGAGAUGGGUGUGCCUCUUUUGGGGUCGGUUCACAGGUGGUGCAUGGCUGUCGUCAGCUCGUGUCGUGAGAUGUUGGGUUAAGUCCCGCAACGAGCGCAACCCUUGUUCACUGUUGCCAGCACGUUAUGGUGGGGACUCAGUGGAGACCGCCGGGGUCAACUCGGAGGAAGGUGGGGAUGACGUCAAGUCAUCAUGCCCCUUAUGUCCAGGGCUUCACGCGUGCUACAAUGGCUGGUACAGAGAGUGGCGAGCCUGUGAGGGUGAGCGAAUCUCGGAAAGCCGGUCUCAGUUCGGAUUGGGGUCUGCAACUCGACCUCAUGAAGUCGGAGUCGCUAGUAAUCGCAGAUCAGCAACGCUGCGGUGAAUACGUUCCCGGGGCUUGUACACACCGCCCGUCAAGUCAUGAAAGUUGGUAACACCCGAAGCCGGUGGCCUAACCGUUGUGGGGGAGCCGUCGAAGGUGGGACUGGUGAUU
rnacentral:rRNA from 1 species